rnacentral:tRNA from 1 species
GGGGAAUUAGCUCAGUGGUAGAGUGCUUGCCUAGGAAGCGCAAGACCCUGGGUUCAGUCCCCAGCUCCG